rnacentral:piRNA from 1 species
UAAGUUGGUUGUGUGUGUGUGCU